rnacentral:lncRNA from 1 species
AAUUCUAAAAGAACAUUGCAACACGGUAUUAAGUCAAGAUUUUGCAACCGAGAGGGAAAGUCAAAUAAAUAAAUAUAGCUAUGUUCAAACCAAAAUAGCAUGUCAGACAUGAAAUGUUCUGUUGCCCCUACAUUCUCGCCGAUAAUUAAUUGUGCUUUAACAAAUAAAAAAGGGGAAUAAUAUAAAGAAUUAUUCUGUUUAAAAGAGCAGGUGAGAAAGAUACACAGCCUUAGCGAUUUUUGCUCUUCUCCAUUUGGAUGUUUUCUUGUAAACCAUUGCACCACCUUGGAGCCCUUCACUCCUAACGUCUGGCUAUAUGUUCAGGAAAAAAACAAAUAUAUAGCAAACAUAAAUAUUGGAAAUUAUAGCCUAUAUAAAAAAGCAUAAAUUAGUUGAUAGCCUAGAAUGAAGAAUGGAUGGAAACCUUAAAGCUAGCUACAUCAAGUACUUAAUAAUAAACAAACAGACUGAACUGAUCUACUCGGACGAAUGGCGGAGAGCAGUAAGCAGCUUGCCUAAACAAUCAAACCUCUGCAAUGGUUAUUUGUGGAACUAUGGAAUUGUAUUCCUUUGUUGUUUACUAAUUGGAUUUCUUAUUGCCUAAAGAAGUUUGAUUGUUUUUGUUUACUUAGCUUUUCAAUCUAUAGCACAACUAUAUAUGCUUUUCACAAUUCACAACUGUAUGCACGGUUCGUUGUAACACACAAAGGAAGAAAAGCAUGAUCAAGGCAUAUAUGUACUUCCUCCGUCUCAGUUUACAAGUCCUACGCGUAUACCUAGGUUGUCAAUUUGAUCACCCUAAUAUAAACUAUAUAACACAAAAAUUAUAUCUUUUGGAAAUAGAACAUCUGAAGUUUAUAUUGGUAUAUUUUUUAUAAUAUAUUACUUGUAUUAGGUUGGUCAAAUUGACGAUCUAGGGGUACGUGCAUGCCUUGUAAACUGAGAGAGAGGGAGUACUAAUUUGGUGAAAACAGUUUUAACUGGCAACCUGCAGACCUUAAUUAAUAUAUCUACUUGUCUCACUAUUAUACAUGAAGGAGAAGAAUUAAAGUUGGUCAUAGCUGAAACUGAAAGGGCCUUACUAUAUUUUCUAUGAGUAGCACUUCGAAAUGUGAGUGUUGGAAUUAUAUGAAGAGGGAUGGAGCAUGUUGUUGUGAACGGAUAUGAAGAAUAUGGACUGCAUAGUCAUAAUUGUAGGAAGCAUUCAUUGGAGUGUUUUCUUUUAUACUUCGACACCCACACUACAUAAUCAUUUUGAUAUCCAAUAUAGGAAGAAUUGAAUGCAACUUGUUCAAGUCAAGCAGUCCGUCUAGCUUGCUUACAGCAGCAAAAACUCUACCUCACUGAGCACAACAAAGGAACACAGUAAAACAACACAGCAGACUCUGACAUCACUACCGUGGCUUAUCACAUCAGAGAGUACUAAGUGGGGAAUCAAAGGAAAUAUUAAGUACCAAAACCUUUCGAAAACAAUUUUAUCUCUGGAAGAUUUUCACUAACAUACAAUUUGCAAACUGUUGUUCCAUUCAAAGUAUCUUCGCAUGAUGAGAUUAGGCUUUUAGGCAUGGUUCUGUCAAUGUGAAAUGUAUAGGAAAAAAAAAUUCAAAGCCAUGCCUUUGGUUAAUGCAGCAAGGCAGAAUAAGAAUACAUACAAUGCAGGAUAACUAAAGACCUGGCUUUCAUCAGUUCCUUUCAGCCCUUAUAAUGUUGCUUAUAGAUGGACAUGCACAAAAACGAAUUUUUCUUUGCCAAAUGUUAUCAAUCAAGCCUAUUUAUUGGGAUUUUGUUAUGAAUUCAGGUAGCGGGAGAUUAGAUCAGGAAUUUUCAGGUAUGUGCUUACAUGCCUGCUAGGAAUAACGGGUUGCAGAUUCAAAGGGCGUAGAGGAGGUGAACUACUGCACCACCAGCCUUGCCGUCCUUCCUCCACACAGCAUCCGCCAGCAGCCUCAUGGACGACUACAGCUGUCCGAUAUGCUGCACACUACAGUCGAUUCAUCCGCCAUGGGAGGGCUCCUUCGCCUAGCGCCGCGUGCCGGCCCGCCUGCGCGUCGGGGAAUCGUCGGAUCCGCCCGGAUCCAGGCGCAACGAGGGUCACCGGAGGAGCAGCGAGGCGAGCUCGGGACGGUCAUCCAUGGCGGCCUCCUGGCCUCCUGGCGGCGG